UAGGGAAUCUUCCACAAUGGACGCAAGUCUGAUGGAGCAACGCCGCGUGAGUGAAGAAGGUUUUCGGAUCGUAAAGCUCUGUUGUUGGUGAAGAAGGAUAGAGGUAGUAACUGUCCUUUAUUUGACGGUAAUCAACCAGAAAGUCACGGCUAACUACGUGCCAGCAGCCGCGGUAAUACGUAGGUGGCAAGCGUUGUCCGGAUUUAUUGGGCGUAAAGCGAGCGCAGGCGGAAGAAUAAGUCUGAUGUGAAAGCCCUCGGCUUAACCGAGGAACUGCAUCGGAAUAUGUGUAACUUGAGUGCAGAAGAGGAGAGUGGAAUUCCAUGGGUAGCGGUGGAAUGCGUAAAUAUAUGGAAGAACACCAGUUGCGAAGGCGACUCUCUGGUCUGCAACUGACGCUGAGGCUCGAAAGCAUGGGUAGCGAACAGG
rnacentral:rRNA from 1 species